rnacentral:rRNA from 1 species
CCUACGGGGGGCAGCAGUGGGGAAUAUUGGACAAUGGGCGAAAGCCUGAUCCAGCCAUGCCGCGUGUGUGAAGAAGGCCUUCGGGUUGUAAAGCACUUUCAGUGGGGAAGAAAGCCUUGGGGCUAAUACCCUCGAGGAAGGACAUCACCCACAGAAGAAGCACCGGCUAACUCCGUGCCAGCAGCCGCGGGAUACGGCGGGUGCGAGCGUUAAUCGGAAUUACUGGGCGUAAAGCGCGCGUAGGCGGUCUGAUAAGCCGGUUGUGAAAGCCCCGGGCUCAACCUGGGAACGGCAUCCGGAACUGUCAGGCUAGAGUGCAGGAGAGGAAGGUAGAAUUCCCGGUGUAGCGGUGAAAUGCGUAGAGAUCGGGAGGAAUACCAGUGGCGAAGGCGGCCUUCUGGACUGACACUGACGCUGAGGUGCGAAAGCGUGGGUAGCAAACAGGAUUAGAUACCCCAGUAGUC